rnacentral:rRNA from 1 species
GGCGAACGGGUGAGUAACAUAUCGGAACGUACCGAGUAGUGGGGGAUAACUGAUCGAAAGAUCAGCUAAUACCGCAUACGUUUUGAGAGGGAAAGCAGGGGACCUUCGGGCCUUGCGCUAUUCGAGCGGCCGAUAUCUGAUUAGCUAGUUGGUGGGGUAAAGGCCUACCAAGGCGACGAUCAGUAGCGGGUCUGAGAGGAUGAUCCGCCACACUGGGACUGAGACACGGCCCAGACUCCUACGGGAGGCAGCAGUGGGGAAUUUUGGACAAUGGGCGCAAGCCUGAUCCAGCCAUGCCGCGUGUCUGAAGAAGGCCUUCGGGUUGUAAAGGACUUUUGUCAGGGAAGAAAAGGCUGUUGCUAAUAUCAUCAGCUG